rnacentral:misc_RNA from 1 species
AAGUCGUAACAAGGUUUCCGUAGGUGAACCUGCGGAAGGAUCAUUAACACGUUAUCCACGUAUCUACCUUCUGUGAACUCAUUUUUGUUUGUAGUUUUCUCAGGUAUGUCUAAGGAAGCAGAUGACCAUGUCGUUGGUGUUUUUUUUUGCAAAAAAAACUCACAACGUUCUGCUUGCCUAGCCACCUUUGCUGAGUGCUAGUGUAUUGAGGUUAUUCCAUUUAACGAUGAGUUUAGCCCUGCUAGCAACAAAAAACUCCUUAGGAUGGGUAUCUGCGAGAACUCGAAUCAUGGUGGUUAUUAACCUAUUAACCCCUUUUUCUUUUUUUUUUGUCUUAGUGAGUGCUCAUCCUGAUUUUGAUUUUUUUAAAAUCAGGGUUGACCUCCCCUAAAAAAAAAUAACACUAUACAACUCUUAGCAACGGAUAUCUCGGUUCU